rnacentral:lncRNA from 7 species
AUGACUUGAGCAGAGGCUGGAGAUAACCUCACAACAAGCUGGAGGACUAGAGACACUUUGGAACCAACAUUUUUAUCAUUCUGUGCAGGUUGCCUCUGCAGUUCUACCAAUAUGAAAUCUGGAGUCUGUUUCUUCAGCAACACAGCAUGCUGUUUUUGCCACAGACAUACCAUAUCAUGAUUCUGUGAUGCUACCUGCAGAGUUCUAAUGCUAAUAAGGAGGUCAGCAGCUCCUGAAGAUUAUCUGCCGGAAGGACGUGUUUUAAAAAUGAAACAUGUUCUUUCUUGUUGCAAAGCAUUCCUGCCAGCAGAAGUCUCACCAGCUGUCACGCACAAAGUCUUCUACUCCCAUCAAUUUUGCCAAUAUUGGAUAAAAGGUCUAGACUCUGAGAAGGAGGGGCUACCUCAAGAGAGAGGUCUUCUUUGGAGAGAACAAACUGCGAAGGCUGGAAGAAGCUAGUUCACAACUAUGAGUAACUGCUUUGACUACAUAGAAGAAAAGAACCGUAACUAAAUCCUUUUCCUAGCACUGAAUCCUCUUUUUCUGAAACAUCGAUGUGUGUAGCCAAAAUAUAUAUUUUGAUACUGCUUUCAAACCUCAGGAGGAGUAAAGCAAUUUCAGAAGGCACAAAGAGAACAUGAUCCAGUUCAAAGAGGCAUAUACAAGAAGAGCUUUUUCCAGCUUGUAUUAUAAUUCUGGAGGAUAAAUGAAAUUCCUGUCCAGUAUUUGUGAGCUCAUGAAGGUGAAGAUGCCAAUUUUGGUUUAAUUUGACUGUUUUAUGAUUGUUUAAGAGAGUGAUGGGUUCACUUAUUUAACUGUGCAAGUAAAGAACUGAUAUCAUGCCCAACACAUAACAGCACUACUACUCAGAAACAUGCAAGUCAAGGCACAAUACCACUAAUAAUUUGCAUGCAGAUUAUUUUUGUUUACUCUUGCCAGGGAAAAAUUAUGCAUGAUCAUUUCGCAAGAUAAGAGGAAGGAUAACUUCCAUUAUCUUCCUUUUUUAGCACAACUUUUAGUGAAAGCAAGGAGUUUCUCGUUCCUCAACCCUUGCCUUAAUUAAAUGGAUGCAAAAACGUGAUGCAAUACACCAAAUGUCCUGAAACAGCAAGUGAUUGAGAGGGUGGGUGUGGGAAUUCUUUUCCAUAAAGGCUGGUCUUUUCAGUCUGGCCAUCUGUUUGCUUAUGGUCAAAACCCUUUUUUUUUUUCGGCUGUUCUGGGAUUUCUUUGUCACAAUGUGAUUGAAAGACAUUCAAUCUCUCAUCUUAUAUGUACUGCCCUGUGACAUUUUACAACAACAAAGCUUUUGUUCUGGCUGAGGUCAGAGAUGCUUUAAGGGUUCUCCAAAGGGGAUACAAACAAAAGAAAAAAAAAGGAAAAAACACAACUCCUUUGCAGGUAAUCCCUCAAAAUUUCAAGCUGGCCAUAUUACACAUUAGAAGUGCUGUAAAUCCCUUUAUAUUCUAUUUAUAUUCUCAUCUCACUUUUCUCUACCAAUAAACAUAAUAUCAU